AGUGUCUUUAUCCAGUAUUAUGUCUUCUGCAGAAGGAAGGAGAAUUAAUGGUAGGAUUUCCACUAGAACCAUCCAGAUUGUAAGACAAGGCAAAAACAGGUCACACUUGAGGUUCUUUCCAUAAGUAAGGACAGGAUCCGUAUGCUAUUUCCCAUGAGGCCAUUCCACAACCAAACACAAAACGGUUCUGACUCAGUGUGAACUAUCCCUGAACUAUUUCAUCUCUACAACAGACGUGAGGUGUUUCAUCACAGGUUCCAAAGGAACUGGUGAUAGGUUGGGACGACCAUGGUUAGGGCCUUGACAUAGAUAACGACAGUACAGAUCUCAGGAUAUUUCUUCAAUAUUUAAGCAAGGUCUACCCCACCCACCUGGGUGGAUUCAAAGGGAUAGAGGUGGCUGUGGAGGCCCUUACAUGCAGAGCAGAGAGACAGAGCGUGCCUGAGGGCCCAAGCAGCGGGAGGUGGGCGGUGGAUAGCAGCAUAUGAGCAGGCAGAGGACCCAGCCAGAAAGGCAGCACUCCGAGGGAGGGAGGCCCCACCAGAGCCUGUCUUCAGGAACGGGGCCUCUGGACAAAGUGGAGGGCAAGGGAGAGAGUUGAGAAGGCAUGUUCAGAGGCAGCUCCUUGUGGAGGGUUGACAGUCGAACAGAUGAGAGGGUACCCACGGUGGGGGUGGCAGGGACUGGAUCCACAGAGGCGGCCCUCUCCACCUUCUCUUUUCUACAAGGAGAAAUGGUGGUGUUUGUGCAGGUUGAUCAGGGGAACCUGAGAGGCAUGAGAGCUCUGAGACUUUAGGAGAAGAGAGUAAAGGAAACCAGCCCGUCUCACCAGUCUGCUUGAUCUAGACAGUCUUGUGGCUGUGGAAUUGCUGAGGUCAGGACAGAGAGAGGACUGAUUUCUCACUUACCUAGAAAGUUAUUUCAGAUCAGGUGACACCAUGUUACCCCUGUUUGCACAGCUACUGCACUGUGGUCUUUUCUAAAACGAAACCUUUCCUAGUCAGCAAAUUGGUGCUUAUUGGAAAGAACGUAAGCCCAGAAUCAGAUUAUGUUGACAGUUCAAAUGUGUGCUAGAGAUGGGGAGGGAAAACACUUCUCUUUUUUCACAGGGGAACUGAUGGAACUGCAGAUGACAUUGCAAGCACAAAGUCAGUCUUCCCCACAGAGUAAUCACUUUGCACUUACCUGCAAAUUUUCGGAUUUUAUUCAGACCUGCAAUUGAUGAAGAUGUUCAGGGUUAACUGGGUGACAGGGAAGGACAGGGCUGUUGUAGGUAAUGUCACAUGGCACAUCAAUUGGGAAUCCUGGCUUCACUUACCCUGUUCUCCAAGGAAUUUUCUUUCUUCUGCAACAGUAAAUAGGAAGAGCUAUUGUUUAAAGACAAGUUUAGCACUGGGACAAGGAACCUGCUGACCAGACUGGCCAACACUCCAGUCCCUCAGGACUGAGAAUGGGCAGAGGACAGGAAAGAUGGUGACAAGGACUUAAGAUUCUUCACUUUGUCCUGUAAAUGUCUGUGGGGGGCUAAAAGGGGGACUAAAGACUCGGCCUCUCUGCUUGCAUUUUACACCAACCUUCUUUGCUCCAAAGUCACCCUGGAUUCCAGGAAAAAGGGAUGAUGGAUGGACCUCAUGUGAAGAGUAGAGUCCACCUCAGCUUCCCCAGCUCAGGCAACAGCAACUUCCUUAUUGGACAAGGCCCUGUGGGACCAGCCUGAGAUAAGAAUGGGCAGGGCACACCUGACCAAGACCUCCUGCAUUGGCAGCUGUGCAAAGCCUCCAGCUGUGUAAGCUCCUCACACUGGACCUCAGUCCCCUUUCUGUAAAUCCUCAAAGUCCUUGUCAGCCCUGAAGACAGGGCUAAGGACAUGGGUCCCCGCAUCUUUCCAGAGUAGAUGAUCAAAGUUCCUUUUCAAGUUUUUUAAAACAAAAAAACAAAAUAAAAAACCAUUCAAUAUCAUUAGCCACAAGGAGUAACUGCAGGUCAAUACCACCAUGAGAAACCAUCUCACCCCAGUUAGAAUGGCUGUGAUCGAGACAGAGCAAAACAUCGUGCAUGGAGAGCCCCCCUUUGGGAGAGUCGACAGGCCGCGGCACAAGCCCAGGAGCAGGCUCCUCACCCCUGGGCAUGGCACCCACACAGCCGUCUCACGCUGAAGCAGGAUAUUUUUGCUUUCUUCCAGAAAACCUCCCACCUAACCGUAUAAUGCAUUCUCUGCCCUCAAGAAAAUGUGACAUGCGCAGCACCACCUGAGCGCAGAUCCGUUCGGCCUCUCAAUUCUUGGCCAGCGUUCAGGUAACAUUCUCUCCUGGAACGAGAUCUGCGUGCUGGCCGCCUGGGCUUGGCUCUGCCUGGGCUUGGGAAAGAGAGUCCCAGGGCUGAUGUCCCUCUCCUCUGACCAGGCCACCCGCUGGCUCACUCUGGACAGCAGUGCAGCCAGCGCUCUCCUUCCUCACCACCGCCUCUCACUCCCAGUCCCUGCUCUUCAGCAACUUGGCCUGGCUGGCCCCUCCUCAGCAGGACCCAUGGGCUCACUCCUCCUGCUGUGGGAGGAGUCAUUCGUCAUCACUGGGGGGCGCGAGGGAGGUGGAAGGGCUGAAGCCCCACACCACGCCUUCCCGCAUCCCUGCCAGGACUGUCUACCUUCUAUGAAUGCUCAAUACGGACCUUUCAAAUUACCACGAUAUUGGUUUAAUUGUCCCCAAACAUUAUUUUUAGGUGAUUAAAGGAAUUGCUAAUGGAUUUUGGUUUUGUUGCAACAAUCACAAAGAUCAAUUGUGUAUAUGUCAAACUACUGCAUAGGUCAAAAAUAAAUGUCACUUACCUUU